rnacentral:lncRNA from 10 species
GAGGUGGACCGGCGCUCGCCUCUCUUCGAUGCUUUUGUUCUGCAAGCGCUGUGACUGUGCUCAUCGCAUAAACAAUUGCAACUGCCCUGACGACACUGGACCCUCUCCCAGGAUCCCCAACGUCUUCUCAAACCGAAAAUGAAGAAUCUUGUGAGGGAGAAGGAGGAGGGGAGUCUCGUUGCAGAAGCAGACGACCAUAAUAAAUGAGAAGGCAGAAAGGAGAAACGCAACAAAACCGGGUCCUGCUGGAGAAAGCACACAUCAUAAAGACAUAUGGCAAAAGAUCAAUAUUCAUGCCUCAAAGAGGAGCCUCGAUGACAAGCUCCACAUUUGUAUUAUGGCAGGGAGGGAAAGGUUAUUGUUAGCGCUGAGGCUUAUUUACAGCCUUUCGCUGGGUGCUGACUCCUGUCCAUUUCUUAGUAGGGAUUGAGUAGAGCCUGCAGCAGCGAGGGGUCUGGGGAUACUUAGAAGUGAGCACAUACAACAGAGCAUGGUCUACGGUGUGGCCAGCAGGUGGAGAUGCAGUGAGGCGGAGGGCACCCUGGAACUGAGCCCACUCACCAGUCACAGAACUGGGCACGCGUGCUGAUUGCAGAAGCCUGCCUGGCACAGCCAGGUGGACAGAUGUAGACAAAAAGAGGCCGGCGCCCCCUGCUGGUCAACUCGGCUCUGCUUUCCCUCCGCAGCCCAGAGGGGCCCAAGAAACCGGGAAGAGAAUGCAGGACCGGAGGCCAGAGCUGCCUCCGUGGCCCUGGGCAGGGCUCUUACUGUCUCUAAGCAUCCGCUUUCUCCAUCUGGAAAGGAAGAACUUCUCCCUGUCAUUCCUAAGUCCCAGGACUGCUGCCAGGGUAAAAUGAGGCAAAUUAUGGGCAUAUGCUACGAAAAUAGAAGCUAUUUUGGUUAUUGUUCUUAGCACGGCAUUCUUACAUCAGAGCGAAAAGUGUCUGGGACAUAAAUCUGAAAACGAUACAUUUAAAAUAAAGCAAAGAGUGAAUGGGUCAAAAGACCAGUUUGUCCGGGGCUUUUUCAUUCCGUGGCGGAGGCUUUCUGCUGAGCAUUAGCAUGUGA